GGGUGGUUGGCGCAAUGGUAGCGCGUUGGUUUUCGGUUACCGGAAGACACCAAAGGUUGUGGGUUCGAGCCCCAUGCUGCUCG
rnacentral:tRNA from 1 species